rnacentral:rRNA from 1 species
AUACGUAGGUGGCAAGCGUUGUCCGGAAUUAUUGGGCGUAAAGCGCGCGCAGGUGGUUCCUUAAGUCUGAUGUGAAAGCCCCCGGCUCAACCGGGGAGGGUCAUUGGAAACUGGGGAACUUGAGUGCAGAAGAGGAUAGUGGAAUUCCAAGUGUAGCGGUGAAAUGCGUAGAGAUUUGGAGGAACACCAGUGGCGAAGGCGACUUUCUGGUCUGUAACGGACACUGAGGCGCGAAAGCGUGGGGAGCAAACAGGAUUAGAUCCCCGGGUAGUCCACGCCGUAAACGAUGAGUGCUAAGUGUUGGGGGGUUUCCGCCCCUCAGUGCUGCAGCUAACGCAUUAAGCACUCCGCCUGGGGAGUACGGUCGCAAGACUGAAACUCAAAUGAAUUGGCGGGG